rnacentral:lncRNA from 1 species
GUCGGUAGAUGCAUUAGGACUGGGCGUCGCGUCACGUGCUGACGCCGAGCUCAGGGACACGGAGUGUGCAGCUUGCCUGCAGAAGGGCUGAGUAGGAGGAGCCAGUGUCAAGUGCACCCUCCCCCCAACUUCCGGUUGCUAAAUCCUCAGAUCCAGGGGCGAAGAGCGGUGCUUGGGUUGUUCGUGUCUCCUGCUCAUUUGAGGGAAUGA